AGGGAUGUAGCGCAGCUUGGUAGCGCCUUUGAGGAAAUGUCACGGGUUCCAAUCCUGUCAUCCCUA
rnacentral:tRNA from 1 species